rnacentral:rRNA from 1 species
AUUGAACGCUGGCGGCAUGCUUUACACAUGCAAGUCGAACGGUAACAGCCCUUCUGGUUCUUACGAUUGGCGUACUGGUGUGUAAUGCAUCGGAACGUGCCCAGAGGUGUCUGAUAACGCCUCGAAAGCUGUGCUAAUACCGCAUGUGUUCUGAGCAUUAAAGCGGGGGACCAGUCCGCAAUGUUUGGCCUCGCUCCUUUGGAGCUGCCGAUGUCAGAUUAGGUAGUUGGUGGGGUAAAGGCCUACUAAGCCGACGAUCUGUAGCUGGUGUGAGAGGCCGAGGGGCGACACCGGGACUGAGACAGGGCCAAGACUCAGACGGGAGGCAGAAGUAGGAGAGGGGGGAAAAGGAGAGCGAGCGUGAGCCAGAAAUGCCGAGGGCGGGAAGAAGGCCUUCGGGUUGGAAAUGGAAAUUGUACGGGACGAAAAGGAUGUGGCUAAGACCGGAGGGUGAUGACGGUAGUGGAAGAAUAAGCACCGGCUAACUACGUG